CCUACGGGAGGCAGCAGUGAGGAAUAUUGGUCCAUGGGCGGAAGCCUGAACCAGCCAAGUAGCGUGCGGGAUGAAGGCCCUACGGGUCGUAAACUGCUUUUGCACGGGGAUAACACCCUCCACGUGUGUAGGUCUGCAGGUACCGUGCGAAUAAGGGUCGGCUAAAUCCGUGCCAGCAGCCGCGGUAAUACGGAGAGCACGAGCGUUAUCCGGAUUCAUUGGGCUUAACGGGAGCGUAGGCGGGCGUUAAAGUCAGCUGGAAAAUCUCGCGGCUAAACCGCGCACCGCAGUGACAACUGGACGCCUUGAGUUCACAAGAGGCAGGCGGAAUUCGUGGUGUAGCGGUGAAAUGCUUAGAUAUCACGAGGAACCCCGAUGGCGAAGGCAGCCUGCCGGGGUGCGACUGACGCUGAGGCUCGAAGGUGCGGGUAUCAAACAGGAUUAGAUACCCUAGUAGUC
rnacentral:rRNA from 1 species